rnacentral:rRNA from 1 species
GAUGAACGCUGGCGGCAGGCCUAACACAUGCAAGUCGAACGGUAGCACAGGAGAGCUUGCUCUCUGGGUGACGAGUGGCGGACGGGUGAGUAAUGCAUGGGGAGCUGCCCAAUCGAGGGGGAUACCAGCUGGAAACGGCUGCUAAUACCGCAUACGCCCUGAGGGGGAAAGGUGGGGACCUUCGGGCCUACCGCGAUUGGAUGCACCCAUGUGGGAUUAGCUAGUUGGUGAGGUAACGGCUCACCAAGGCGACGAUCUCUAGCUGGUCUGAGAGGAUGACCAGCCACACUGGGACUGAGACACGGUCCAGACUCCUACGGGAGGCAGCAGUGGGGAAUAUUGCACAAUGGGGGAAACCCUGAUGCAGCCAUGCCGCGUGUGUGAAGAAGGCCU